UGAGAGCUGCUGCUCAGCAACUUCACCCACAGCAACCAUGACUUUGAUCAGCGUCUUCAUCUGCACACUGGCCCUCUGGACUCAAGGAUCCAGAGGUCAGGUGACUGUGACUCAGACUCCUUCAGUGCAAACUGUUGCUCCAGGAAACACAGUCACCAUCAACUGUAAAACCAGUAGUGAUGUGUAUGAUGGUGAUGAUCUACACUGGUACCUGCAGAAACCUGGAGAAGCUCCUAAACUCCUGAUCUACUAUGCUACUCGCAGACAGUCAGGGAUUCCAGAUCGUUUCAGUGGCAGUGGAUCUAAUACUGACUUCACUCUGACCAUCAGUCGAGUCCAGACUGAAGAUACAGGAGAUUACUACUGUCAGAGUGUACAUGUGAUCAGUAGUAACUAUGUGUUCACUUUUGGUGGAGGCUCCAAACUCAUUGUGAACACUAGUCCUGUGGUGAAUCCCUCCGUGUCUCUGCUCCCUCCGUCCCCUCUGCAGCCAUGUGAAGGAUCAUCAUCGCUGCUCUGCCUGCUAUCUGGCUACUCUCCACAGGGGGCGCUGGUGAGCUGGACAGUGGACGGUUCCGAGGUGAAGAACGGGGUUCUGACCAGCGCUGAAGAAGAGAAGGAUGGUCGUUACAGCCGCAGCAGCACCCUGACCCUCAGCAAAGACCUCUGGGAAAAGGGGGAGGAGUUCAGCUGUAAGGUCUCCCAUAACAACGCCAAUCAUCCAGUCACGUUCAGAAAGAGUCAGUGUGAAGGCUAGUGGAUCCAAGAUAGAGUUUAACAUAGAGCUGCUUAUCAUCCAUCCUAAAUAGAGUUUCAAUUCUACACAAUGCUGACAUUUCUGUCUUUACUCUGUUCACUGUCCUGUUGCUCUUCCUGUAGUUUUUGCUGAAAUAAAGCUGAGUUUUGGA